UAACAAUGAUUUCCCCAGUAACGGCGAGUGAAGAGGAAAGAGCUCAAAGUUGGAACCUGUUUGGCUUAGCUAAACCGGAUUGUAAACUGUAGAAGUGUUUUCCAGACACGCCUGGUAAAAAAGUCCUUUGGAACAGGGCAUCAUAGAGGGUGAGAAUCCCGUCUUUGGCCAGAGCUGUUGUCUUUUGUGAUACAUUUUCAAAGAGUCAGGUUGUUUGGGAAUGCAGCCUAAAUUGGGUGGUAAAUCUCACCUAAAGCUAAAUAUUUGCGAGAGACCGAUAGCGAACAAGUACCGUGAGGGAAAGAUGAAAAGAACUUUGAAAAGAGAGUUAAACAGUAUGUGAAAUUGUUAAAAGGGAACCGGUUGGAGCCAGACUGGCUUGACUGUAAUCAAUCUAGGCUUCGGCCUGGAUGCACUUGCGGUCUAUGCCUGCCAACGACAGUUUUAUUUGGGGGAAAAAAUUAUUGGGAAUGUGGCCUUUCGAGGUGUUAUAGCCCUUUAAAAAAUACCCUGGAUUGGACUGAGGAACGCAGUGAAUGCCUUUAGGCAAGAUUGCUGGGUGCUUUCGCUGAUAAAUGCUAGAAUUUCUGCUUUGGGUGGUGCUAGUGUUUAAAGGUGGAACUCGCUUAGUAUAUUUUUUAUUCGCUUAGGUUGUUGGCUUAAUGACUCUAAAUGA
rnacentral:rRNA from 1 species